AGUUUCAGUGGAAGGGACACGCCGCCACGGUGGCGUUUGCAGAGAAAAUGGUGGGCCUUAGUGACUGGACGGCGGGGUUGGUGCGAGUGGCGUCUCUCAAGGUGCGGAGGGACGUUUGAUAACUGGGUUCCUGAAUCCAGAAAAGCGAGUAUUGGGAUCUGUGUCCUGGGCGCUAGUCCAAGCACUCAGUGCCUUUCCUCUCUCCUGUCUGACGACAGUGAUUCGUGUGGCAGUGUUUGUGGCGAGGCGAGGGAAGAAGAGGAGCAAACUGCACAGGAUCUGCGGAGGUCUUCCCAUAGGGCAACAGUAGGGCUCUUUACCACUGAAAGCAAAGGAAAGUGGGAGACUGGCCUGGGACUGUGGAGCUGGGUCUACAGGCCUGAAAGCUUGAGAUCACUGGAAGCAAGGAAAUACGGAGGAAAUUAUUCCUGAUCAGUAUAUGCUGGUCCACAGAUCUCAUGAGUUUAUAGAUCUCCUUUAGGAUAUACCUCCAAUCAAGAGAAGGAAAGAGGUGGUAACUGCCUUGAUCAUUACAGGUUGGUAUGAGGGUGGGCACCUGUGGGAGUGGUGACCAGAGUAGGUCCAGUAAAAAUCAGGGUGUGAGGGCUUCAGUCUACCAUCCAUAGUCAGUGCUACCACCAUCCUUUCCACUGUUCAUUUGAUGUAAGAAAAUGUGUAUGGAAGUACCCUGGGG
rnacentral:lncRNA from 1 species